UCAUUAAUGAUUUUUUAAGCAAACCAAGCGAAAGCGAGGUUUUGCGAAUAUAUUUAAACCCCCCACUCUUUAAAAAAAUUUUAUCAUUCAUAAAUGUGAAUAAAAGAGAUCACUUUCAACAACGGAUCUCUUGGCUCUCGCAUCGAUGAAGAACGCAGCGAAAUGCGAUAAGUAGUGUGAAUUGCAGAAGUACCGUGGAUCAUCGAAUCUUUGAACGCAAAUUGCACUCUCUGGUAUUCCGGGGAGUAUGCCUGUUUGAGGGUCGCCUAACAAACCAUCGAUUUCGUUGCUUUUUUUUUAAAAAGGCGAUGUUUAUCGGAUUUGAGCCGUCUUUUUUUUUUAUAUUUAAGUGGCUUAAAAUUGAUUUUUUUGGCAUGAUCGAAGCGUAUUUUAUGAUCAAUUUUUGGUUAAAGAAACGCAUACGCGUACCGUUAUUUGUAUGAUGUAAUACGUUUGACUAUUGGAUUUAGUUCAUUCGUAUACGAUAUUUUUCAAUAUUUGACCUC
rnacentral:misc_RNA from 1 species